GGAGGGGACCGUGGUCCACUUUCACAGAGGAGCAAAGAGACAUUCAAGUAAAAGCGCCAGACCUCACGCUAAGCUGUGGUUUGCUCCUGACAGUCUUAGCACAGACAUAGCGGCUCACAACUGGCCACCACUCCGGCUGUAGCGGCAUCAGCGCCCUCUUCAGGCCUCCACCAGCACUGCAUGCAUAUGGGGCACAUACAGUUCCUUAGGCCAACUAGCCACAUUUCAAGUGCUCAAGAGCGCACGCCUGUAAUCCCA